GGCGCUGUGGCACAGUGGGUUAAUGUCCUGGCCUGAAGCGCCAGCAUCCCAUGUGGGCGCUGGUUUGAGUCCUGGCUGCUCCA
rnacentral:tRNA from 1 species